rnacentral:rRNA from 1 species
CAGCAGCCGCGGGAAUACGGAGGGGGCUAGCGUUACUCGGAAUUACUGGGCGUAAAGCGUGCGUAGGUGGUGGUUUAAGUCCGUUGUGAAAGCCCUGGGCUCAACCUGGGAAUUGCAGUGGAUACUGGGUCACUAGAGUGUGGUAGAGGAUAGUGGAAUUUCCGGUGUAGCAGUGAAAUGCGUAGAGAUCGGAAGGAACAUCUGUGGCGAAGGCGACUAUCUGGGCCAACACUGACACUGAGGCACGAAAGCGUGGGGAGCAAACAGGAUUAGAUACCCCCGUAGUCCCUGUCUCUUAUAC